GCUGCAGAAGAAGCACCGGCUAACUCCGUGCCAGCAGCCGCGGUAAUACGGAGGGUGCGAGCGUUAAUCGGAAUUACUGGGCGUAAAAGCGCAUGCAGGUGGUUUGUUAAGUCAGAUGUGAAAAGCCCCGGGGCUCAACCUCGGAAUUGCAUUUUGAAAACUGGCAAACUAGAGUACUGUAGAGGGGGUAGAAUUUCAGGUGUAGCGGUGAAAAUGCGUAGAGAUCUGAAGGAAUACCGGUGGCGAAGGCGGCCCCCUGGACAGAUACUGACACUCAGAUGCGAAAGCGUGGGGAGCAAACAGGAUUAGAUACCCUGGUAG
rnacentral:rRNA from 1 species